rnacentral:lncRNA from 1 species
UUUGCAUACUUUGAUUUCUUGCAUUCACUACACCUCACUUAAUGUGUUUAAAAAAAUUAUAAAUACUUAUUUUAAUUUUUAAAAAUUCAAUUCACUCCUCCUCUUGGAUUGUCUAGCUGGGCAACAACAUGUUUGAGGAUAAUGUAUGUAUGCUACUUUCUUUCUUCCUCUUAUAAUAAAUCAAAUCUCGCUGAAGUCUGAUGUACCACAUCCCUGUAGCCUUCUAAGGAGUGGCAUGCAAGGUCUUGCACAUCAUUGAGUCGGUCCCUCCUAGAGCAUCAUGAGAGCCUUUAGCUCUCCAGGUGGUUGUAAGGAUCAAUGGUGCCAUCGUAGGUCUCGAGCUACGACAUCUUGAAUCGAAGAGGAAUGGACUCCUCUAUGAUCCACACUGAGAAAGGAGACUUGAUGGAGAACUCCAGAUCAUUCCCUAGGUCUGGUAGAUGCUGUCAUAGCACCUCGAGGUAUUGAUCCAACUUGU